UAAACAAUAAUAAAAAAGUAAGAAAUAUAGCACCAACUACCAGGCACUAUUUUAAGUACCUAGUCCUAUUUUACAAACCAACACUCAGAAACAGAGAGCCUGAGCAAGGGGCUGAGAAAGGAUUUAAACGUAAGUUUAAAAGUUGUGAAAAUUAAUAAAAGAAAAACUCAUUUAGAAUGAAGUCGGAGGCCAGGAUGGGCAGUUCUCAUGCCCUACUAUUCCCGAUGAUUGCAGACCCAACAGGGAGAGGGCUGCUUGCAAGUCAAUAGCACUUUACUCUCCUUCGCUACAUUUAAGAAAAGGUUUUUCUCCUCCACCUUGGCAACAGCCCAGCCAAUGAGAGACCGUCACAAUCAGCCAAUCAGAAGCCAGUAUACUGUGACCUCUCCGUUUAAUCCAACGGACUUUUCGUUUGUAACAGCCCUUCCCAACUGUCCCCUUUCCUCUAUAAAAGAGCUUUCCUCUCCUUUACUGUGUGCACUUUGCUAUGGUUUUGCCAGUACAUGUUCGUUCUGGGUGUGUAGUUAGGAUGGUUGCACAGGAUAGAAGAGAACAGGAAGGUAAACAGUGUUGUCAAACGGGGGGAAGGCGCUGCUUGUAAAGACAUGUACACUAAUAUCAAAUCGGAAUGCUGGAUUCAUGGGAUCGGAAAGUCUGGAGUGAAGACCGUUGUUUUGCAGCGUGGGCUCUAGUAAAGAGACAGAGAGGGCCCUGGUCUGUUAUAGCGUCUUGCCGGCUUCAGUUCCACCUUCGAGCAGGGCAGCCUCCACUCUGCCUCUUUGUCUCGCACGUUUCAGAAGAGUCUAUGAAGGUGAAGGUGGUUAGCGCUACACUGGAAUGUUGAAUUCUGAGGAAAACCUCCUAAGGAACCAAGUCCAGCUACAUAUGGCCAGAGGACAAGUGCAUGUGCCUUGGAGGCUAGGAUGUUCUAGUCUGCGCAGGACUGAGGAGAGACCCAAAGCACCAGAGUGCAGGUUUCUGCCCUUGAGGGGCUGACCGAGUCCCAGCUAAGAAAAAAUACGCACUUGGAAGACUUGAGAUUUAGCAUCACAAAGAAGCAGGAACAUUCAAGUGUAAACUCAACACUCAACAAAGAAGCAGAGACUAGCACUGGGCAGGCCUCUGAACAGCGGCACACAGCAAAACUAAGAAUCUCCUCUAAGGAGAAGUCCUACUCUGCACGUAUGACAGACAAGUGACACAGCAGGACGAAAGCACAAUGCACAGAGUGACGAUACUCCACAGAACAGGAAAACUCUCAUGAUCCAGGUCGAAGCCUAAGAAACCAACUCUAGGUACACUUUGAUCACCUACAGUGUGCUUUACUUUAGAAGGUGGUUGUGAAGAUCAAAUGAGGGGAUAUGUAUGUAAUGAUUUUGAAACUGCCCAACAUUCAAGAAGCUACUCAAAAUCUUUUACACAGGGAUGCCCAGCCAGCUUGACUCCCAACGCAUGAGGACACACAGCCUUGGAGAAUGGAGUAUGGACUUCAGCCUCUUCAAACCACACCCACAUAUAUCAUUGGAGAAAUGCCCUUAUGUUGGGAUAAGAUUGCAGAUAAUUUAUGACAUUUUGCACUGGUUUACUACUAUUCCAAUAAACUCAGAAAUGUACUAUUUGCUGUUAAGAGUUAAUAUUUAUUUUCAAUUUUGAAAAAAGGUCUUGCUUUAAUCCUUCUAAAAUAAAUCCCAACUUUACUUGUAGUACUGUGGCUGCCCUUAUAUAAUGACUGACUACCUUUGACCACUUGUGCACAUUAUUUAUGUAAGUGCAUAUACCCAAUAAAAUCUCAACCUCAACAUCAUAUAAAU